rnacentral:rRNA from 1 species
CGCGUAGGCGGCUUCUUAAGUCAGAUGUGAAAGCCCGGGGCUUAACCCCGGAAGUGCAUUUGAAACUAAGGGGCUUGAGUAUGGGAGAGGGAAGUGGAAUUCCUGGUGUAGCGGUGAAAUGCGUAGAUAGGGGUCAGGAGGAACACCGGUGGCGAAGGCGACUUCCUGGUACCAAUACUGACGCUGAGGCGCGAAGGCGGUGGGGAGGCAAAACA